AGCAGCCGCGGUAAUUCCAGCUCCAAUAGCGUAUAUUAAAGUUGUUGCAGUUAAAAAGCUCGUAGUUGAAUUUCGGGAUCAAUAUGUCGGUCGUGCCUCGGUACGUACUGGUAUCAUUGGUUUCUCCCUUCUGAUGAACCAUGAUGCCAUUAAUUUGGUGUCGUGGGGAAUCAGGACUGUUACUUUGAAAAAAUUAGAGUGUUUAAAGCAGGCUCACGCUUGAAUACAUUAGCAUGGAAUAAUGAAAUAGGACGUUUGAUUCUAUUUUGUUGGUUUCUAGGAUCGACGUAAUGAUUAAUAGGGAUAGUUGGGGGCAUUAGUAUUCAAUUGUCAGAGGUGAAAUUCUUGGAUUUAUUGAAGACUAACUACUGCGAAAGCAUUUGCCAAGGAUGUUUUCAUUAAUCAAGAACGAAAGUUAGGGGAUCGAAGACGAUCAGAUACCGUCGUAGUCUUAACCAUAAACUAUGCCGACUAGGGAUCGGAUGAUGUUAAUUUUUAAUGACUCAUUC
rnacentral:rRNA from 1 species